AGAGUUUGAUCAUGGCUCAGGACGAACGCUGGCGGCGUGCUUAACACAUGCAAGUCGAACGAUGAAGCCUUUCGGGGUGGAUUAGUGGCGAACGGGUGAGUAACACGUGGGCAAUCUGCCCUUCACUCUGGGACAAGCCCUGGAAACGGGGUCUAAUACCGGAUAAUACUUUCCCUCUCAUGGGGGAAGGUUAAAAGCUCCGGCGGUGAAGGAUGAGCCCGCGGCCUAUCAGCUAGUUGGUGGGGUAAUGGCCUACCAAGGCGACGACGGGUAGCCGGCCUGAGAGGGCGACCGGCCACACUGGGACUGAGACACGGCCCAGACUCCUACGGGAGGCAGCAGUGGGGAAUAUUGCACAAUGGGCGAAAGCCUGAUGCAGCGACGCCGCGUGAGGGAUGACGGCCUUCGGGUUGUAAACCUCUUUCAGCAGGGAAGAAGCGA
rnacentral:rRNA from 1 species